rnacentral:rRNA from 1 species
GACGAACGCUGGCGGCGUGCUUAACACAUGCAAGUCGAACGGAAAGGCCCUGCUUUUGUGGGGUGCUCGAGUGGCGAACGGGUGAGUAACACGUGAGUAACCUGCCCUUGACUUUGGGAUAACUUCUGGAAACUGGGGCUAAUACCGGAUAGGAGCUCCUGCUGCAUGGUGGGGGUUGGAAAGUUUCGGCGGUUGUGGAUGGACUCGCGGCUUAUCAGCUUGUUGGUGGGGUAGUGGCUUACCAAGGCUUUGACGGGUAGCCGGCCUGAGAGGGUGACCGGCCACAUUGGGACUGAGAUACGGCGCAGACUGCUACGGGAGGCAGAAGUGGGGAAUAUUGCACAAUGGGCGGAAGCCUGAUGCAGCAACGCCGCGUGCGGGAUGACGGCCUUCGGGUUGUAAACCGCUUUCGCCUGUGACGAAGCGUGAGUGACGGUAAUGGGUAAAGAAGCACCGGCUAACUACGUG